rnacentral:rRNA from 1 species
GACGAACGCUGGCGGCGUGCUUAACACAUGCAAGUCGAACGGAAAGGCCCUGCUUUUGCGGGGUGCUCGAGUGGCGAACGGGUGAGUAACACGUGAGUAACCUGCCCUUGACUUUGGGAUAACUUCAGGAAACUGGGGCUAAUACCGGAUAUGAUCUCCUGCUGCAUGGUGGGGGUUGGAAAGUUUCGGCGGUUGGGGGUGGACUCGCGGCUUAUCAGCUUGUUGGUGGGGUAGUGGCUUACCAAGGCUUUGACGGGUAGCCGGCCUGAGAGGGUGACCGGCGACAUUGGGACUGAGAUACGGCCGAGACACCGACGGGAGGGAGAAGGGGGGAAGAUUGAACAAGGGGCGGAGGGCGGAUGAAGCAACGCCGCGUGCGGGAUGACGGCCUUCGGGUUGUAGACCGCAUUCGCUCAUGACGAAGCAUUGUGUGACGGUAGUGGGUAAAGAAGCACCGGCUAACUACGUG